CUAUCGUGUUGCAACGUAGUGAUGCUCAAGAUGAGGUGAGGUGGGCCUCAGGAUUUGUUCUGUAGCACGGUAGCCACCUGAAGUGUGUGUAUAGAUAACAAAGAAGAAAACACGAUGACUUGCUUACCAGUGUUCAGUUGAAAAUGGGAAGCAUAAUGUACAUCACCACUCUUAUAUCUUGGAUGAGGCGCUGAAUGAUGUCCAGCGGAUGGCAGGAAUGGACAAGAG